rnacentral:rRNA from 1 species
GAUAAACGCUGGCGGCGCACAUAAGACAUGCAAGUUGAACGGACUUAAUCGAAAUAUUUAUAUUUUGAAGCGGUUAGUGGCGGACUGGUGAGUAACGCGUAAGGAACCUGCCUAUUAGAGGGGAAUAACAGUGAGAAAUCAUUGCUAAUACCGCAUAUGCCAUAGAUAUCACAUGAUAACAGUGGGAAAGGAGCAAUCCGCUAAUAGAUGGCCUUGCGUCUGAUUAGAUAGUUGGUGGGGUAACGGCCUACCAAGUCGACGAUCAGUAGCCGGACUGAGAGGUUGCACGGCCACAUUGGGACUGAGGUACGGCCCAGACUCCUCCGGGAGGCAGCAGUCGGGAAUAUUGCGCAAUGGAGGAAACUCUGACGCAGUGACGCAGCGUAUAGGAAGAAGGUUUGCGGAUUGUAAACUAUUGUCGUUAGGGAAGAGAAAGGACAGUACCUAAGGAGGAAGCUCCGGCUAACUACGUG